CCCCUCAUCAAAAAAAAAAACCGCCCAGCUCCCCCCUGCCGCCGCGGACGCGCGAGACGACGAGGCGCCCGCAGCCUCCCGCCCCCCCUCCCCCGCCGGCAGCGGUGGCCCCACCGCCGGUGCACCUGAUGGCGGCAGCGCGUCGGGAGGCAUCAGAUUCAUGGGAGGAAGGAGCAGCAGGAGCCGGAUCCACACCCAACCACCCAGCUCCCGUCCUCACCACCCUGCCGGUCGCAGCUUCCUCCAUCGCCGCCCGCCGCCGCCGCCGAUGCGCGGGACGACGAGGCAACUGCAGCCUCCCCGCCCCCUCCUCCUCCCCGCCGGCAGCGGCGGCCCCCACCGCCGGUGGUGGGCACGGCGGCGUAGGGACGGGGUCGACGCCACUCCCCUCCUCCGACGGUGCUCCCUCAUCCCGACCCCGUUCCGCGAGCCCGUUCCAAGAUCGAGGCGAGCCGCGAGCAGCAGCCAUGAGCAAGGUGUUCGAGGGCUGCGAGAGGCAAUACUGCGUGGCCGCGGCCUCCCUCUCCCGCAAGUGCACCGCUGCCUCUGCCCUUGAUGGAGGUUGAAUCUCCGCAGAGAAGGAAGCAAAAGCUGUUCGAGAUCCAGUCCGGCGUGGAGGAAGCUGAAUCGCUGGUAAAUAGAUGCAUCAACGCAUUUUGUUCCAUAUGCACAUAUAGAUUCGUCUGCAAUUGAGAUCUAGUACACAUGCUGGAUGGAGGAUUUGAGCUAGCAGGUCAGUCAAACAAUCACGAAUUCAGCUUUUCACAGCAAUUUUGAUGAGUAAUAAUCUAGUAGAAAGCUGGAUUAAUUCUUUUCCCGUGAAAGCACAUUGAGUCAGAUCUCAUUUGGUGUUGGAGCUCAAUGUAUCUGCACGUCUAUUUGGAUGCAUUGAUACUUGAAUCGAGACUGCACCCAGUUUUGGGUAAAUCUCGUGUGCCUAAUGCUUUUGACACUACCAACUGUGAGCAUUGAAUUGUGAUCUCGAUGUAACCAAGCCUUCUGCAUGCUCUGUCUCAUGUUCAUGUAGUUUGUACUGAUUAUACUGUGCUGAUUUUUUUUCUUCUUGACAAUCAUUUUUAGUUGACAGUUUACUAAAAGAUCUCAAGCACGCUACCCAUGAUUCAGAUCAGAUAUUCCUAGUAUGAACAAAAGUGGUUCUUUUUAUUUUUAUUACUCCUUGCCCAUUCCAACCUCUGUCCCGUAUCUCCAGCAUCAGUUAAAAAAUGUCCUCGUACUGAAAUCUUGCUACGUCUCAAAUCCCUUAGGUUUUUCUCAUCAUCAAAUUACUGAUUUCAGUAUUACCUACAGAUGUGCAGAGCAAGGAGAAGAAUGUUGUAAGGCCAUCAGGGAGGUUGCCAAGUGAAACGACAUGGGAUCUGCAAAGGUUCUGGCUGGAGAGGGAUCGCAGGCCUGCCAAAUAGUUGCUGAUAGCUAGGCAUCUCUUUCUGAAUUGUGUGCACUAGGAUAGCAGUAGCAGUAGCAACGGGUAACUGUCAGCUCAUCAAUCAUGCCUGUAUUUUGUGCAGCAAGUUGGAUACUAGGACUGCUUGCCGGAGAUUGCACGUGCUGGCGGUGUUGCUCGCUUGCUGGAGAUCACCCGUUAUGAAGCCUGGAGUUGCUUGCUUGCUGGAGAUCGCGUGCACAAGAGGAGCUGCUUGCUGGAGAGCGACAGACCACCUGUGGCAUGGCCGGCCAGCCGCAAGCAUUGAUCGAUGAUGUGAGGUGGACACAAUGAUCUCCAUUGAAAGCGCCAUCUUUGAGGGGACCCCAUCAUCACAAUUAGGAGCCUGUGUGGCACUGGUUCGGCCAGCUACAGUGGCUAGAGCUAAAGCCAGCGGAGCCUGGCCAAAUGGGGCCUAGGUGUUUAGGGACGAUUCCCCUUUGAUUCCCCUGUUCAGCACUCAAUGAAUUUUCUGCAGAGCAUCCAUGGUACAGUAGAUAGAUUGUGAGUUUCAUGUGAGGAUGGUAUAUUUAAAACCUCUCUGUAUAGAUUCUUAUGAAAAUGUAAGUUCGGAUUGGCAGAUGAUAGAAAUAGUGAUGCCAAUAUGGCUUCAUCUUGUGUGCUUAUGGUAUUUAUGAACCGGCUCAGAAAAAAUGUAUGGUUUGUUUAAGAUAAUAAGAUUUUUUGCAUCAAUAUGUUUUGUUA